UUUGUACGUGCUGUUGUGGAUCCUCAUAUAACAGUCCCUGAAAUUCUCCCGCAGAUCUCAACAAUUGCACCAUAUUUUAUUUCAAUUCCCACCAACCUUCUAGUUCAAGCUUGAGAAUACUGUUAGUCAUGAGGUGCGUAAGUGGGAUUGCCACCUCACAAACCGGUCUUACAACUAGUUGAACAGGAACAACUGGAGCAACAGGAUCUGGAAUAUUUUCAACAUUUGGAUCAGCAACUAUAGGAUCGCAUAUUUUCGCCAUCUGUCCCUAUUGAAUGUACAAUUGAGAUCUUCGUCUCUGAUGAAAAAUUACUUCUAGUUCUGAAAAGGGCUCUACUAACUCUUUAUCCCUAGCCAGUCCAAUGUUCAGCUAAACCUGCAAAAUUCAGCCGCUAAGAUCAAGUUGUUAACACAAACUUAUUAUCAAAAACCAAAAAUAAAAGCAAUUUACUAAUGCUAUUUGAUCCCCAGCAACGGCAUCAAAAAAUUUAUUAAAUUGUAGUUAAGUAACUUUUUUGUCUAAUAAAAUUAAGAUAAAAAGAUAAAAUGAAUGUCAAAAGUCAAAAAAAAAAAAAAGAGAGAGAAAGAAAAUAAUAGAAGGAAUUUCAAAUUGUAUUACUUAGUUAAGCCAAAAUCUCUUUAUUGACAUAAUCAAACAAAAAAAGUUUCAUCUUGUAAGUUAUAGUUUUGCAUUAUAUAUAUAUAUAUAUAUAUAUAUAAGCAGAAGCCCUAUACGAAAUAAAUAACAAUAGAACGUUCAAAUGUAUAGGCUGUAAAAUGGGAAACCUCAAUCUCACCGAAACUAAAGAACAUUUUGUCAAAUGUGAAUUAAGAACCGAUAAUUAUGGUUACGCACUUAAAAAAGAAAGAAAAGAAGAAGACUUAGAAACGAGUUACAGUAUAGAUGAGAUGAAAAGUAUAAAAGAAUUUAUUGAAGUGCGGCAAGUACUUCAAGCCCUUUCUAAAGGACGACUGGUAUGCAAAAGGUGGAUAUAACAACAGGAAAUUUAUCAAGGCAUAGAGUAUUUAGAAUAAACCCUGAAGAAUAAAUAGAAUGGGACGUAAAACCUAGAGGAAAAAGAAUGUCAAUAGAAGAACCCAUGAGAUUACAAAAAGGUGGUAAUAUAGUGGCUUAUGACCCCCCAGACAUGGAAUGUUGUAAUAGACAUAUGGAAGAAUGUAGUUGUAGCAGAUUACAUACAACACAUACAAGUCAACCAAGAGCCAGAUGCAGAAAAUAUGUAUAGAUAUUAUUGAGUUAUGCCAAAAUCUCUUUAUUGACAUAAUCAAACUAAAAAAGUUUCAUCUUGUAAGUUAUAAUUUUGCAUUUCUUCUUUAUUUCUCUAUUCUCUCAUUCCUAUAUAGGUUGUCUUUUCAAUUUUUUCUUUUCGUCAUUACAGCUUUUUUUUUUCAAUUUCUCCUAUUUUUCUUCUUUCCCCACGUAAUUGUUAUGGCACUACAAAAAACUUAAAAUCUAUUUUUUGCAUAAUUAGAUGAAUUAGGAUUAACUUUUCACUUAAUCACAUAAAUAAGUUCAAACACUAAUUAAAAAUCAAAGAAGAAAAUAGAAUGAAAAAAAAAAAACGAUGAAAGAACAAAUUAUUUAACUUUCUUUGAGAUGUAGGGACAAUCAAAGGCUCACUUAACUUUCUUAUUUUUGAAUACACAUGAAAAGAAUGACAUAAUGAUCAUUUUAACAAAGUAGUGGAAUAACUCAAACAUAAAAUAUUCUUGAACAAAGUUAAUCUAAAAAUACUAUACAUCAUAAAAGAAAUUGCUCGAGCGUAUAAAAUUACCUUUAAAAAAAUAUAUUUAAUAUUGAAGUAGAUUUAUCGUAUGUACCGAGCUUCUUGAUACAAAUGGCAUAGCAUGAGUCAUCAAAAUUUAUCAAAUAUUUAGCAACAAAAAGUUAUGAAAUAAAACAAUAUGAACUUUUCAAUCAAAAAGAUGAGAAAUUUUAGCCUCUAGAGAAAUAAAUUCAUUUGAAUUUACUAAGAAUAGAGCACAUAUAAGUAAGUUUAAUCAAGACAAAAUAUUCACCAAUACAUGAAUCUCAUAAGAUAAUUUGCUACUAUUCAAAUAAAAAGAAUACUUAGAACUCAAGUUGGAACAUUUCCUACGCACAACUACAACAACUAAAAUGAUUGAUUCAUGUAUGCAUAAUUUGGUAGUGUGAGAUAUAUAUAUAUAUAUAUAUAUAUAUAUAUAUAUAUAGAGAGAGAGAGAGAGAGAGAGAGAGAGAUUAAUUUAUCUUUUUAUCUCCCAUUUUUAGCACAUUAUUACUACACAUUAAUAAAAUUAAUUAAGAUUAAAGAUUGAAGGUGUUUGAAUACAUGAAUACAUUUUAAAAUCUCUAAUAAAGAAGGUAAUCAUAGUGGGAGGUAAAAAAUUGAUGAAUUGAAUAAUUAAUUUUUGAAUUAUGAAAAAUAAAAUAAAUAGAUAAAUGAAGAAGAAAUUGUCAAAAAAUGAGAAAGGGAAUAAAUAAAAAUAGGGGUUCUAGAGAAGUGCUACAUCACCUUCUCUAUAUUUCUUCGUUAUUAUUAUUAUCUAUAAAUUUAAUUUAAUACAAAUCAAUCACAUAAAUUAUAGAGAAAUAUAAAAAUAAUUAAAAAUAAAAAGAGAAAAAGAUAAAUUGUCUUCUUAAACAUUAACUAAUUGAGGGUUAUGAAUAUUAAAGGCUUGAGAGUUAUGGACAUUACUAAUGUUUAAGAUUAGAAUUUAUAUAAUUGAAUGUAUGAAUUAAGGACAUGAUUUUGUAAAAUAAACUAAUUGAAAGGAAUGAGAAAAAAUGUCAAAAAAAGGUGUUACAUCAUUUUAUCUGUGUUUCUCCUUUAUAUCAUCUAUUUUUAGUAUAACGACAAAUAAAGUGAACAAAUUAUGUGUAUUAAUUUAAACUAUUUAGAUAAAAUAAUUAUAUAUAAUUUAAACUAUUUAGAUAAAAUAAUUAUAUAUAUAUAUAUAUAUAUAUAUAUGUAUGUAUGUAUAUAUAUNNNNNNNNNNNNNNNNNNNNNNNNNNNNNNNNNNNNNNNNNNNNNNNNNNUAUAUAUAUAUAUAUAUAUAUAUAUAUAUAUAAAGAAUGUAACUUUUCUCUUUGUUUAAGAAACACAGUUAUUUUUAUUCUCUUUUUAUUUAUGAAAAAAAAAUAUAUCAUUUAUGUGUCAUGUAUAAAAAGUUUAGAAGUCACUCCUUAAUUUAACACAAAUCAAUCACAUAAAUUAUAGAGAAAGAUAAAAACAAUUAAAAAUAAAAAAUAAAAAGAGAAAAAGAUAAUUGUCUUCUUGUACAAUAACUAAUUGAGGGUUAUGAAUAUGAAAGGCUUGGGAGUUAUGGAUAUUACUAAUAUUUAAGAUUAAAAUUUACAUAAUUGAAUGUAUGAAUUAAGGAUAUAAUUUUGUAAAAUAAAUUAAUUGUAAGAAAUGAGAAAAAAUGUCAAAUAAAAAGGUGUUACAUCAUUUUAUCUAUGUUUCUCCUUUAUAUCUAUUUUUAGUAUAACGACAAACAAAGUGAACAAAUUGUGUGUUGUAAUUUAAACUAUUUAGAGAAAAUAAAUAUAUAUAUAUAUAUAUGUGUGUGUGUGUGUGUGUGUGUGUGUGUGUGUGUGUGUGUGUGCGCAUAUAUAAUUCUGCAAAGGACAUUCAUGUCAAGUGAUUAUUAUGUCCUACUCCUCAAAUCUUCACAUAAUCAUCAUUUCAUCUUCAUUUUAUUCGUUCACUAUCUUCUUCUUAUCCCUAUAAAAAAUAAUACAGCACAAAAAUGAAUAUAUCAUGAAUAAGAAUUAUAAGAAAAUAAAUUUAAAUCAAGCAUGUUCUUACUUAGAAGUUACAAAUAAUAUAGGAUAAUACUAAUAACAAAUUUAGUGUAAAGCAAACCAAAAGAAUAAUACAUGAAGAAGGAGAAAAAACAACAUACCCAAAAAAAAAAGAAUAAGGAGGAUAUUUUAGAAGGUACACAAAUGAUUUUUUUUAAAAGAAUAUAUGUAAGUUCAAAAAAUAUAUAGUUAAUGAAAUAUUCUUAAUUUUGUUUAUGGGGGAAGAAGACUUAUAAUGCUUCUAUUUAUAGGAUAACAACAUGGAAUAUGAAAUGAUAUCAUCAAAGGAGUUAGGAUCAUCAAAGGUCAUGAGAGUAAUGAAAAUAAAAAAUAUUAAAUUUUUAUAUUAAAGGAUAUAAGUAAAUAUAGGAGUAGUAAUUGAUCCAUUUAUUUUGAUUAUUAAACAAAUCCAUUGAUAAAUGAAAAAUAAAGAAAAAAAUUCAAAAAUCCCCCAAAAAAGAUAAAUAGUUUUUUUGAUUCUUAGGCAUGCCACAUAGGAUGGACUAAUACUCUCUUAUAUAUAUAUAUAUUGAUUAUAACAAUACCAUAUAAAGCCUACCAUAAAAGGUAUGUACACUUUAACCUUAUCAGGAGAAUAAAACAAUUAUUAUCGAAAGACUCUUGGCUCAAAUAACAUAUGUCAUUAUAUUGUACCAUAUUAUUUUGAUGAAUAUGACAUGUGAAUAGUUUGUUUGUUUUUUCAUCGUUUGAAUAUGACUUUAUAUUAUAGGCAUAACAUACAAAUGUGUUUUUAAUUGAUCUCAACUUACAUUUUUGUCUUUUAAAUUUGAGUGUGCACAAAUGCAUAUUAAAACUAACAUAAAAUUGAAUAAGUAAACACACAUCUUAAUGACAAAUCGUGCAUGAUUCGACAUGUAAUAUGCAUGCAUUUCACUCGAUUUAUCAUGUAAAGUGAAUUUUUUCGUCAUUAUAAGACAAGGAAGCACGGCCCAAUAUAGUUUACUUUUUAUUUUAUUUUAUAUGAAGUUGAUUUCCGUUUGAGGAGUUAAGUUGCAUGAUUUUAAUUAUUUUAAGUUGCUAAAUAUUUUUUUGUAGUUGGUAAUUAUUAAAAUUUAUAUAAAGUUGUUUAUUAAUUUUUUGUAAGUGUUAAUUAUUGUGAUUUAUGAUAUGUUUCAAUUUAUGCGGCAUUGAUAGAAUUUGUCAUUUGAAAAGUCAGUUAAUUUUUUCAUGUAGAAGUAAAUAUUUUAUUUUAUUAAUUACUGUGAUUUAUAAUACUUUAUAUAUAUAUUUUAAAUAUUUUAUGUUGUUAGUUAUUGUGAUUUAUAAUAAUGUUUACGUAGUAGAUAUUUGAUCAUGGAUAUUAUUCAUAAUUUUUUAAAAUACGUUUUUAUUUUAUUUCAAAAUACUUGUUUGCUCAUAAAUAUUUUUAAAAAUGUGCUCAUAAUAUUUGAAAUUUUUCAUUAUUUUUAAAUUCACUUUUUUUAUUUUUAAUUUAUUUUUAAAAAAAUAAAAUUUUAUUUUUUCACAAAAUAAUUCAAUUUUCAUAAAACUUUAAAUUUUUUUUAAAAUCUAUUUCUACUUUUUAUUUUUUUAACUUCAAAAAUAUCCAAUUUCAAAAUAUAUGGUCAAACACAACUCCAACUCUAUUUUUAAUUUUAACUAUAUCAAAUAAAGUAAAUAUACUUUUAAUUUUUAUGUCCUAAGUGAAUUCUUAAUUUUUAACUCUAUAAUUUAUAAAAAAAGAUAAACAGAUGGGGCAAACCAAUCUAGUAAAUAACAGUUUCUUCACCUUUAUUAUCAUCAAACAAACGUAGAUCUAACUUCCAGAGGUCCAACUGUUCUCUUUAUCCCAUCAGCUUGCUUCACCAACAUCCUACUUAUCAAAAAGGAAACCAAAGAAUGGGAUCUAAAAGUUAGUCAAGGUGCACUUGUUCAUGCCUUUCUUGAAUCGUUGCUUAGUUAGUAGAAUCUUCAAAAAAUCAAUUGCAAAUGCGGAAGGAAGAAUUUGACAUGCACUAAAAUGUGUUGUGAAAUAGUGUAUUGGGCAACAAAUUCAAAGGUUGGAGAUAUGUUAUUGUUGUUGCUGGUACUGUUGCAGUCAUGACAGAUGUGUUGUCUUCUUUGCCCUGAUUUCUGAUUUGAGACUCAAAAUUGAAACUUUUGGCAGUUAGAAGGAUAUAGGAUUUUAGAUCUACCACUUGCUUCUUCUCUGUCGUUACCAUCAUCAUCAUCACUUUCUAUGUGGGCUCUGAAAGGGAAUUUUAGCGCUAGUUGAGAUUUGUUGUUGAAAUGGCAAUAGUGGCCUAUUGAGGGUUUUGUGACGGCUGAAAUUAUUGUGAUGCGAAAUGACAAUAUUGCCCUUAUAGCCUAAGUUUGAUAAAGUCUUCUGUUUAUGGUUAAAUCCUUAAAACUAUUCCCGCCAAACAUAACAAUGAAGUUCGGAAAAUAUUUCAUCGAAGACUAAAACUAUUAACUUUUGGCAAGUACUAAAAUUAUUGAUGCAUAUUUAAAAUUUUCUCCUAUCAUUUUACCUAAGAAUCACAAAAGGCUGAACCUUAGGGUGUGUUUGAUAUGAAAAAUAUUAUUUUUCACAAAAUAUUUUUUAAUUAAUAAAUUAAUAUGUUAUUAAAUGCACUAUAUUAUGCGAAUGCCAUUUAAAUGCAAUCUAUUCAUUACUCUUUAUAAUAUCAUUAUGUGUAGUAAUAUCGACGCCUCUACCUGGUUAAUAUUGUGUUUAUGACAUCCUUUGAUGUUCAUCUAUGCAGUCUUAUAAUUAG
rnacentral:lncRNA from 1 species